rnacentral:rRNA from 1 species
AGAGUUUGAUCCUGGCUCAGGACGAACGCUGGCGGCGUGCUUAACACACGCAAGUCGAACGGAAAGGCCCUUCGGGGUACUCGAGUGGCGAACGGGUGAGUAACACGUGGGUGGUCUGCCCUGCACUUUGGGAUAAGCCUGAGAAACUGGGUCUAAUACCGAAUAGGACCACGCGCUUCAUGGUGUGUGGUGGAAAGCUUUUGCGGUGUGGGAUGGGCCCGCGGCCUAUCAGCUUGUUGGUGGGGUAAUGGCCUACCAAGGCGACGACGGGUAGCCGGCCUGAGAGGGUGACCGGCCACACUGGGACUGAGAUACGGCCCAGACUCCUACGGGAGGCAGCAGUGGGGAAUAUUGCACAAUGGGCGCAAGCCUGAUGCAGCGACGCCGCGUGAGGGAUGACGGCCUUCGGGUUGUAAACCUCUUUCAAUAGGGACGAAGCGCAAGUGACGGUACCUAUAGAAGAAGCACCGGCCAACUACGUGCCAGCAGCCGCGGUAAUACGUAGGGUGCGAGCGUUGUCCGGAAUUACUGGGCGUAAAGAGCUCGUAGGUGGUUUGUCGCGUUGUUCGUGAAAACUCACAGCUUAACUGUGGGCGUGCGGGCGAUACGGGCAGACUAGAGUACUGCAGGGGAGACUGGAAUUCCUGGUGUAGCGGUGGAAUGCGCGGAUAUCAGGAGGAACACCGGUGGCGAAGGCGGGUCUCUGGGCAGUAACUGACGCUGAGGAGCGAAAGCGUGGGGAGCGAACAGGAUUAGAUACCCUGGUAGUCCAA